rnacentral:misc_RNA from 1 species
CUAACGCUGCAGCAAUGCGAGGUGGCGGGCUGUCGUCGGUAGGGAGGGGAGGGGCUUCACUCUCGGGUUCACUCUCGGGUUCACUCUCGGGGGUGUUCACUCUUCCUCUUUGCUAGACCCCGCCGGAAUACAGCCAGUAGGUUGCGACGUGUCCAGUCCGAGUGCCAAGAAGGAUAUUUUUGUAUCUCUUGCACUGGCCACUCGCAAUAGUAUCACACACU